ACAUAGGAGAUGAUGGGAGUGCUGGCGCCCCUUUCGGUACCUGCUGUUGUUCCAUAGAUAGAUCAUAGGUAGGUAGGUAGGUGAUAGAUAGAUAGAUAGAUAUGAAUUUCAGAAUAUUGAUAUAUUUUAUCACUUAACAAAACUGAAUAAAUAUUACAAAUCGGUCUUCCGACCUGGGUACAGGGGCAAAAGACUAAUGGAACCAUCCAGUAGCUGGUUCCCUCCGCAAUUUCUCUCAGUAUAGCUGGGCACUCUGGCAGACACACAAAAGAUGCAGUUUUAUCCAUCCGGUCAAGCAAAUGAUUAGAGGUCUUGGGGCUGAAACGAUCUCAACCUAUUCUCAAACUUUCAAUUGGUCAGAAGCCCGGUUCGCUGGUGUGAAGCCGGGCGUGGAAUGCGAGUGCCUAGCGGGCCACUUUUGGUAAGCAGAACUGGCGCUGUGGGAUGAACCGAACGCCUGGUUCAGGUGCCAGAUGCUGACGCUCAUCAGACCCCAGAAAAGGUGUUGGUUGAUAGAGACAGUAGGACGGUGGCCACGGAAGUGGGAAUCCGCUAAGGAGUGUGUAACAACUCACCUGCCCAAUCAACUGGCCCUGAAAAUGUAUGGCGCCGGUGCAACGGGCCCAUACCCGGCCGGCCAUAGGGGGAAGGUCGGUCGGAGACUAAGGGGGACCAGAUCCACGGGCGCGCGCGCCCCUGUCCUGGCCCAGCAACACCCCGCGCACGCUAUGCGAUGACAAGUCCGAGUAGGAGGGCCACUGCGGCGAGCCUUGAUGCCUAGAGCUUGGGCCCGGGUGGAGCAGUUGCAGGUGCAGAGCUUGGUGGUAGUAGCAAAAACUCAAAGGAGAACUUGGAAGGCGCGAGUUGAGAAGGGUUCCAUGUGAACAGCAGUUGAACAUGGGGUCAGUCGUCUCUGAGAGAUGGGCGAGUGCCGUUCUCUAAGGGACCGGAAAAAGAAAACCCUGGCGCCCCACAAAAAGAAAGGGAGGGUGGGCCCAGAUCCCCAGAAACCCGGGGGGGGAGAGAGGUUCAUGAGAGGGCGGUCAGUUUUUUAAAAAACCCCCCUCUCCAAGAGAGCGCGCGCGACGCACACGAGAGAGAGUUCUCUCUUCUCUUUUUGAGAGAGAAGAGCGCGCCGAUAGAGAGUUUUCGCUCUCCCACAGAGAGGGGCUACAGCCCCCCCGGGGGGGG
rnacentral:ncRNA from 1 species